AAAUAGACCAAGAGCACAAAGAGGAGAUUAAACUCUCAGCUUUUCUUGAAGUCCUUUUGCAAUUAACACAGAAGUGUGGUUUCUCAGCUGGAUGCUCUCCACAUCUGUACCCGUCUUCCCUUUCCCAUCAGCUCAGCCAGCCACGAUGCAGCCCAGCUCCAUGAGAAUACCAAAAGAAGAGUAAAGCAGUUGCAGUUAAAAAGACCGUAAGUUACUCCUUUCCAUGAUGGUGGGCAGAGCACUGCCAGUUUGCAGAGGAGUAAAAUUCAUGCCAAUAAGAAGAUUAAAGGCUGUUUAGCCUACCAUCAUUUGUGGUCCAUGGAGAACUUGAAAGCAAUACGUUUUACCAGUAAUAGCCUCAUAAUUGUGAAAUACUAGUAACUUGUUUUCCUGAAAUGAUUGUAGCUGCCCAUACCUACAGGCUGUAAAUAAAGCUAAGUAUCACAAAGGAGAACAGAUAUCAGGCUCACAAGUAAAAAUGUCUGCUUUCAGUAUGAAAAUAUCUGAUCUAAGAAACUUGAAGCUUGAAAAAAUAAUUGAGAUUAUUCAUUCAGCCCUACCUUUCCUCCUAAAAUGAAACCUUUACAGAGUUGCACUGUCAAAGCAAAAUGGUGGGUCUAAAGAUAAACUAAAGAAUU